CCCUUAGAUGUUCUGGGCCGCACGCGUGCUACACUGAGUGGAUCAGCGGGUCAGGUUGCGCGAAAGCGUUUCCUAAUCUUUAAAUCCGCUCGUGAUGGGGAUUGACGGUUGCAAUUUUCUGUCAUGAACGAGGAAUACCUUGUAAGCGCGGGUCAUCAUCCCGCGCUGAAUACGUCCCUGCCCUUUGUACACACCGCCCGUCGCUCCUACCGAUUGAGUGGUCCGGUGAAGUUCAUGGAGUGGUGGUUGUUCCAGCUGCUGUCGAAGUGAAAUGGACCUCACGAUUUAGAGGAAGGAGAAGUCGUAACA
rnacentral:rRNA from 1 species